UGCCAGCCGCCGCGGUAAUACGUAGGUUCCAAGCGUUAUCCGGAUUUACUGGGCGUAAAGCGUCCGUAGCCGGUUGUAUAAGUCUGUUUUCAAAUAUCAUCGCUCAACGAUGAAAAGGGAAUGGAUACUGUAUAGCUAGAGUUUGUGAGGGGUUAGUGGAAUUUCCGGUGGAGCGGUGAAAUGCGUUGAUAUCGGAAGGAACGCCAAAAGCGAAGGCAGCUAACUAUCACAAAACUGACGGUAAGGGACGAAAGUCUGGGUAGCAAACGGGAUUAGAUA
rnacentral:rRNA from 1 species